CCAGUCAUGUGGCUAGCUGGAAAAUGAAACGGGCUUGGUGAAAAUUUGCUCUAGGUCCCAGACUUGGCAAAUGAUGCAAGAUUUAACUCAUACAGUCCAGCUUCCAAGCCCACACUCUUAACCACUGUACUCUCAGUCAGGGAUUGAGUGGGCAAGCACUGUGGGCUGCAGACACCAAGCUCCACCAUGAUUCCCCCUCCACUCUCAGAGGCUCCAUCCAGCUGGCAGGCUCACAGCACUGCAGCCCAGCAUCUGAAGUGGUACUGUCCCUAGGCUGAUGACUGUCACAUUUUUACUGGGGCCAAAACUUUCCUCCGAGAUUCAGAUGUGUGUCACCAACUAGAGAGCAGGCUUGGAAUUUAAAAAUAAAGUUUUCACAAAACGGGGAGUGUCCGCUGGGGAAAUCUCUAAGAUGAAAGCCACUUUGUCACCUUCUUCCUUCCUGCUUGGGACGCACAUGUAAUGCUUGGCACUGCUCCCCCCAUCUUGUCACCAUGAGAUGACAGCCAAGAGGAGAAAAAGCCAAAACAGAGAGGAUGACAGUGAAGAAAGAGGAAAAGUGGUUAAACCUCACAUGACAUCAUGGAAACCUGAACAAAGGCACAGAACCACAGAUUUCCCAAUUCUUGCGAAGGAAGCAAUUCAUGUUCCUUCUGGGCGAAGCUGCUGCUGGUUGGGUAUUUAUCCUUCUAAAGCUGAAGCAUCCUGAGUAAUGCAGUGCAAAUCAGAAAUUGAAAUAAAUGAAGCACGUCUUGAGCAGUGUCAUGGCAAAGGAGUCUGGCUUGUAGAAUGUCUGUCUCUGGAAAUUUGGAGAGCUGGGAGCAGGAGAUGUGAUCGUGGUUCACAACUGCAGGAUAAUGUCACACCAGAAUAAUGAUAGGAUGUGUAUGUGAGGACAUACCC
rnacentral:lncRNA from 1 species